CGUUUCCUUCGCUGGACGAGCAGGCCGGACGAGGUGAGUAAUGUAUGGGGAUCUGCCCGAUAGAGGGGGAUAACUACUGGAAACGGUGGCUAAUACCGCAUAAUGUCUACAGACCAAAGCGGGGGCUCUUCGGACCUCGUGCUAUCGGAUGAACCCAUAUGGGAUUAGCUAGUAGGUGGGGUAAAGGCUCACCUAGGCGACGAUCUCUAGCUGGUCUGAGAG
rnacentral:rRNA from 1 species